AGCCGUGUAGUGAGUACAAAGCGAACUAUUCUUUCGCCUUUUACUAAAGAAUACCGUGUACUCUCUAUAUUAAACGGCAUACACCUAUUUUUGGAGGAGUAACUUCUUUUGAAGUUU
rfam:Arabis alpina cultivar Pajares Aa.chr8_contig_5532, whole genome shotgun sequence.